rfam:Triticum aestivum genome assembly, contig: Triticum_aestivum_CS42_TGACv1_scaffold_322416_4BL
UUAAUACUCCCUCCGUCCGGAAGUACUUGUCAUUGAAAUGGAUGUAUCUACAUGUAUUUUAGUUCUAUAUACAUCUAUUUUCAUCCAUUUUGAUGACAAGUAAUUCGGGCGGAGGGAGUAUGUU